rnacentral:lncRNA from 1 species
AUAAGUGGAUAGGGAUGAGUUGGUUUUUAUUUGAAUUCAAAUUUGAUUUGAAUUCAAAUGUGUAACCACUUGUCUUUAUCCUCUCACGCGGAUAAGACACGUUUUGAACUGUUUUAAAAGAGAUAGGGAGGUGGGGCGUGCGUAGAAAAAUUUUGAGAAAUAAAGUAGGGUGUGAAGAAGCCUUGUGCGUAAGGUGAAAGUCCAAAACCUUCCGAGAAAAAAAGAAAGAAAAGAAAGAAAAUUGGGCGCAGGGUUUUUGGUGUGUACCUUAGGGUUUCUACCUAGGGUUCGGGAAG